UUCUCAAGAGCAACUUAAUGAAAAGACUUCACAACUAGAUUCUAUAGUUGAGAAACUGGAGAGACAUAAUGAAAGAAAGGAAAAACUAAAGCAACAGUUGAAGGCAAAGGAAUUAGAACUUGAAGAAAUCAGAAAAGCUUACAGCACACUAAAUAAGAAAUGGCAUGACAAAGGAGAACUACUCUCUAAUCUUGAAACACAAGUAAAAGAAGUAAAAGAAAAAUUUGAAAACAAGGAAAAGAAACUGAGAGCAGAGAGAGACAGAAGCCUUGAGCUACAAAAGGAUGCAGUAGAAAAGCUUCAGGAACAUGGAUGAUGCCUUUAAAAGACAAGUUGAUGCAAUUGUUGAAGCACAUCAAACUGAAAUAACACAACUAGCAAACGAGAAGCAGAGAUAUAUUGAGUGUGCAAAUUUAAAGGUUCAACAGAUUGAAGACGAAAUGCGAGGACUUCUGGAAGAAACAUGCAAGAACAAAAAAUUGAUGGAGGAAAAAAUUAAGCAACUUGCUUGUGCUAUAAGUGACAUACAGAAAGAAAUGUGAUGUUUAGUUGAAAUGGACCAACAGACCUAUUGUAAAAAUGAUUAAAUAUUGUAACAGUAGUAUCUGCUAUGUCUCUUUCUACACAUUUCAUUAUGAAUAUAUUUUAAGAGACUUGAUGAAAUAUUGUAUAUGUGGGGUUUUUAUAAUAAAGCAUUAUCAAUUAUGUUUAUUAGAUGGACCUAUCAUAAUAACUAGACUUAAAGCACUUUUCUUGUCUCUGUGCUGUACCUUGUUGAUAAUUACUCACUUACAGAUUUGUAAAGGAAUGUUACAAUUUGACUAUAGGAAAGAUACGAAAAUAAUCAUUGUUGAGUUGUUCUAAUGCAGAACUACUUGUAUUUACAGGUUAUCCUUUAGUAAAUGCAACUCCCUUCUUCUAAAGUGUCUGUAAGAUGUAAGCAAAACAAUAUUGCAAGUCUACAGGAUAAACAAAAAUGUGUUCUCAUUCAGAAAGAUUUAGCUAUCUCCACAUGACUCAGUUUCCUCUUUUCUGGUGCAUUUGUUCAUUAAAAGUGACAUUUAUAGUUUUAUAAAUGUUGUGUUCUAGAAGAGCACAGCAUAACCACCCUCAUUCACACCUCCACUCACUGAAUGAAGAGACUUUUGACUCUGCAACUGGAAACACUCAUUUCACUUCCUAUCUAGUCUCGUAUUGCUAAUUCACUGUUGUCACCACUUUUGUUGGUAAAUAUGUGUCCUUACCCCUGUGCCGAUGCUGAGAGGAAGAAAAUAUAACACAUUCGAAAACUAAUAUCAUUAAUAAACUAAAAUUUAAAAAGUAAA
rnacentral:lncRNA from 1 species